GACGAACGCUGGCGGCGUGCUUAACACAUGCAAGUCGAACGAUGAACCGAGAGCUUGCUCUUGGGGAUUCGUGGCGAACGGGUGAGUAACACGUGAGUAACCUGCCCUGGACUCUGGGAUAACCCCGAGAAAUCGGAGCUAAUACCGGAGAGGACCUUGCACCGCAUGGCGUGGGGUGGAAAGUUUUUUCGGUUGGGGAGGGACUCGCGGCCUAUCAGCUUGUUGGUGAGGUAAUGGCUCACCAAGGCGUCGACGGGUAGCCGGCCUGAGAGGGUGACCGGCCACACUGGGACUGAGACACGGCCCAGACUCCUACGGGAGGCAGCAGUGGGGAAUAUUGCACAAUGGGCGCAAGCCUGAUGCAGCAACGCCGCGUGCGGGAUGACGGCCUUCGGGUUGUAAACCGCUUUUAGUAAGGAAGAAGGGGAGCUUGCUCCUUGACGGUACUUGCAGAAAAAGGACCGGCUAACUACGUGCCAGCCGCCGCCGUAACAC
rnacentral:rRNA from 1 species